GAAUUAUAGCACAGCCAGCAGGAGGUGGUUAGCUGUGGGUGGGAGCCUUUCAAAAUCUGAAAGGUUUUUAGCAUCCUUAACCUGAGCAGACCUACUUGCUCCAUAUGAUUCAAAAAAGAUCCUCUCUCUUUACCCAGACGCCAGAACCUCAGCAUCCAGCAGUGAUUUGGCCCUGAUCUAGGGCACAGUGCAGACUACCUGACCUUCUGGAUCUUGCCCAGCUCUCACAAGCUUGCAGACCCCACAGCACCCGGACCACUUAGUGCACAAGAACACAGACUCCCCACCCCAGGGCGUGCAGCCUCCAAGCCUCUCUUCCUGCUCUGCCCAGAUCACAGGCAGGUCUUCCUUCACUGGCAGCCUCCUGGAAGAAGCAAGAGACUCUGGCAGAGGCUUCAGGCUUGCUGGGCAGCAGGAUAAGAAAACUUGUGUGGAGAGAGAUCUUAUUUCUCAUGUCUUCCUUCUCCUGGUGUAGUUUGGCUUCUUUCAAAUACAACUUUUCUACCACUUUGUGGUCAGGAGUGGGUAAAGUGAAAGAAGAGGAGACCCUCCACAGAUGUGCUGGUGAAGAAUUCUUGGAGAUCCAGGGCUUCUGUGUCUCAUCGUAGGGCUUCUGGGAGAAUCACCUGGCUUUAUCUUGAAUACUGAUUAUCCUCUUAAAAAUUACUGAUGUACAAUUGCUACCUCUUAAGAAAAGGAUUCAGUGUUAAAUUGCCAUUUCUG
rnacentral:lncRNA from 1 species